UCACUAGUACAUUAUCUAUAUAUAACAAAGAACGUAGCUUCCAGUAGUACAUCUGAACCGUUCAUCUUUUGAUCUAUGGUAUGCUUCACAAAGAAGCCCUAAUGUUAAUUACAGAAAUACCACUUCCUUGCUUUCGUUUUCAUUUUCCACCACGCACGAGAAAGCCACCGGCAAAGGAAGAAGCUGACCUCCGGUGACCAGGCCUCUGUCGGCAACGACAGUGGAAGACGGCCGUGAUAUGGUCAUUGACAAUGGCAUGUGACGCUAAUGGCUCCAGGCGGCCGUCGGCCACGGCACUGGAAGACGGCGUCAAGAUAGUCGUUUACGACAGAGUGUUACGCUAGUGGCUCCAGCGGGAGUAAAAACUCUCUCGGUUCUUUCGGAUUUUAUAUGUUCGUUAAUGGGGAUUGAUUGUGGCUACGGUGAUUAAUUUCUAUGAUCGUUGAUGGGGGUUGAUUGUGGCUGUGGCUUUAAUCUUCAAAAUUGAACUACAGAAAUUGAAUUCAUCAUGUCAAACAUCAUAGAUGUUGAGAGCAGUUGGAGCACCUUACUGUAGAAAGAACAUCCGGAGUAUAAAUUCACAUUUUUGUUUUAUGAUUUUUCUCGGUUUUAGUCCUUUAGGCUUCUAUGUUUUAUUUGGAUUCAACACAUAGGACAUGUUUAUAUUUUGGAUUCAACAAAGAUAAAAGGCGAAAAAAAUGCUUCUAACUAUCGUCUUUCAAGCCUAAUUCCUACCGCCUUAGGAUCCGAGUUCAACUACACAAUGGUUGAUUGUAAGCAACAAAAGGGUGGAUGAGAAUGCGGCUACAUGGUUCUCCAACAUAUGUUUGACUUUGUCAAUUUGUAUCAAAACCAAUUUCCCGAUGAAAUGUGGCACGACACGAGAGUGGCUACGGAUAAUGAAAUAGAUGUUUUGUUGAUGACGUUGAUGCCGAAGUUUUUUAGCGAGUUAGGUAUUCCGUUAGUUUAUCUUAUGUGUAGUUUGUUAUGUAUUCACAAAUGAUUGUAAUUUGACGGGUUUAUUUCCGAAUUGGAUGUGGGGUUUAUUUUAGAUUUGAAUGUGCAUUGUUUUGGUUUGA